rnacentral:rRNA from 1 species
AUACGGAGGGGGCUAGCGUUGUUCGGAAUUACUGGGCGUAAAGCUCGCGUAGGCGGAUUGAUCAGUCAGGGGUGAAAUCCCGAGGCUUAACCUCGGAACUGCCUUUGAUACUGUCAAUCUUGAGUUCGAGAGAGGUGAGUGGAAUUCCUAGUGUAGAGGUGAAAUUCGUAGAUAUUAGGAAGAACACCAGUGGCGAAGGCGGCUCACUGGCUCGAUACUGACGCUGAGGUGCGAAAGCGUGGGGAGCAAACAGGAUUAGAAACCCCAGUAGUCC